rnacentral:rRNA from 1 species
UACGUAGGGUGCGAGCGUUUGUCCGGAAUUAUUGGGCGUAAAGAGCUUGUAGGCGGUCUGUCGCGUUUGCUGUGAAAAUCCGGGGCUCAACCCCGGACUUGCAGUGGGUACGGGCAGACUAGAGUGUGGUAGGGGAGACUGGAAUUCCUGGUGUAGCGGUGAAAUGCGCAGAUAUCAGGAGGAACACCGAUGGCGAAGGCAGGUCUCUGGGCCAUAACUGACGCUGAGAAGCGGAAGCAUGGGGAGCGAACAGG